rnacentral:tRNA from 1 species
AAAAAGGUAAGCUAAUAUAAGCUGUUAGGUUCAUACCCUGAAUAUAGAAUAUCUUUCUCCUUUUUA